rnacentral:rRNA from 1 species
UCGAGCGGAUGAGUGGAGCUUGCUCCAUGAUUCAGCGGCGGACGGGUGAGUAAUGCCUAGGAAUCUGCCUGGUAGUGGGGGAUAACGUUUCGAAAGGAACGCUAAUACCGCAUACGUCCUACGGGAGAAAGUGGGGGAUCUUCGGACCUCACGCUAUCAGAUGAGCCUAGGUCGGAUUAGCUAGUUGGUGGGGUAAUGGCCCACCAAGGCGACGAUCCGUAACUGGUCUGAGAGGAUGAUCAGUCACACUGGAACUGAGACACGGUCCAGACUCNUACGGGAGGCAGCAGUGGGGAAUAUUGGACAAUGGGCGAAAGCCUGAUCCAGCCAUGCCGCGUGUGUGAAGAAGGUCUUCGGAUUGUAAAGCACUUUAAGUUGGGAGGAAGGGCAGUAAGUUAAUACCUUGCUGUUUUGACGUUACCAACAGAAUAAGCACCGGCUAACUUCGUGCCAGCAGCCGCGGUAAUACGAAGGGUGCAAGCGUUAAUCGGAAUUACUGGGCGUAAAGCGCGCGUAGGUGGUUCAGCAAGUUGGAUGUGAAAGCCCCGGGCUCAACCUGGGAAUUGCAUCCAAAACUACUGAGCUAGAGUACGGUAGAGGGUGGUGGAAUUUCCUGUGUAGCGGUGAAAUGCGUAGAUAUAGG